rnacentral:lncRNA from 10 species
UAGAGGCCUCCCUUCCGAGGAGGCGGUGCUGGGGCGGGCGCAGGACUGCAGGCUGGGGCUCCGCUCCCCGGCGGGAGCCCGCGCGUGGUUCCCAGCGAAGUCCCCGCGCGGCUGGGCCCAGCCCGUGUGAAGAUGUGCCUGCUUCGCCUUCCAUCAUGACUGAAGUUUCCUGAGGCCUCCCCAGCUAUGCUCCCUAUACAGCCUGCAGAACGGUCGGCUGCCUCCAAUCCUGAGGUCAUCACUCAUCAAGAGGGGAUAAUCCCAGGGACAGCAGGAUCUGCUUCGUUACUUGGAUUUAGGAGCCAGAAACCCAUCAGGCAACUAAACAGUAACAAUGACCCGCCAUUAAACACACUGAGAGAAGAGCAUGAUGAAGAGUUUGUACAAGAAGAAGCCAGGAGCACUUGCUGACAAUGCUUACAGAGACGCAGGCUUCUAUGAGCUCUGCCUGUUGAACUGCAGUAAAAAUAGAUCUCCUUCCCCAGAGAGGCUUGGAUGUGGGCACAAUAUCAGUUCAGACGAUGGUCAAUGCAUGUACUUAAUAGAGUGAAAAGACUUUGGACUGUGAAGUCAGAUUACCUGGGUCUGAAUUGUUAUUCUUCUACUUCUUUGUAGUAUGCUUUCACCACAUUAAAAAUUGUCUGAGCCUCAAUUUUUUUAUCUGCAAAAUGGAGCUAAUACCUACACAGGGGCUUUUAAGAGAAUCAAAUGCAACAAUGUUUGAAAAGCAACAUACUCCCCUUUAUGGAAAAAGAGCCUGUAAAGGAACCAAUACAAUGGCUGGGCGUGGUGAC